rnacentral:rRNA from 1 species
UCCGGUUGAUCCUGCCGGACCCCACUGCUAUCGGGAUAGGACUAAGACAUGCUAGUCAAGCGCUUUCUAGCUAAUGUGAGAGCGCGGCGUACAGCUCAGUAACACGUGGCCAACCUGCCCUUGGGACGGGAACACCCCCGGGAAACUGGGGUUAAUUCCCGAUAGGUGAAGAAGUCUGGAAUGACUCUUCGCUCAAAAGACGUUUAUGUCAUGCUCAUAUUCGUCGCCCAGGGAUGGGGCCGCGACCGAUCAGGUAGUUGGUGAGGCAAUGGCUCACCAAGCCUUUUACCGGUGCGGGCCGUGAGAGCGGGAGCCCGGAGAUGGGCACUGAGACAAGGGCCCAGGCCCCACGGGGCGCAGCAGUCGCGAAAAUUUUGCAAUACACGAAAGUGUGACAGAGCUAUCCCGAGUGCCAUCCGCUGAGGAAGGCUUUUACCCAGUAUAAAUAGCUGGGAGAAUAAGGAGAGGGCAAGUCUGGUGUCAGCCGCCGCGGUAAUACCAGCUCUCCGAGUAGUGUGGACGUUUAUUGGGCCUAAAGCAUCCGUAGCUUGCUAGAUAAGUCCUCUGUUAAAUCCACCGAUUCAAUCGUUGGAUUGCGGGGGAUACUGUUUGGCUAGGGGACGGGAGAGGUCGACGGUAUUUCCGGGGUAGGGGUGAAAUCCUAUAAUCCCGGGAGGACCACCAGUGGCGAAGGCUGUCGACUAGAACGCGCCCGACGGUGAGGGAUGAAAGCUGGGGGAGCGAACCGGAUUAGAUACCCGGGUAGUCCCAGCUGUAAACGAUGCAGGCUAGGUGUUUGGGCGGCCACGAGCCGCCCUAGUGCCGCAGGGAAGCUGUUAAGCCUGCCGCCUGGGGAGUACGGCCGCAAGGCUGAAACUUAAAGGAAUUGGCGGGGGAGCACCACAAGGGGUGAAGCUUGCGGUUUAAUUGGACAACGCCGGAAAUCUCACCGGGAUCGACAGCAGUAUGAAGGCCAGAUUAAAGGUCUUGCUAGACGAGCUGAGAGGAGCUGCAUGGCCGUCGCCAGUUCGUGCCGUGAGGUGUCCUGUUAAGUCAGGCAACGAUCGAGACCCGCGUCCUCUGUUGCUACUGGUUUUGUGCCAGGCACACUGAGGAGACCGCCGCUGAUAAAGCGGAGGAAGGAGCGGGCCACGGCAGGUCAGUAUGCCCCGAAUAUCCCGGGCCACACGCGAGCUGCAAUGGCAGGUACAAU